GCCGCGUGGUAUCCGGGCCUGCGGGCUGAGGGGUUCGAUGAUG
rnacentral:snRNA from 1 species